rnacentral:rRNA from 1 species
UACGUAGGGGGCUAGCGUUGUCCGGAAUCAUUGGGCGUAAAGAGCGUGUAGGCGGUCCGGUAAGUCCGUUGUGAAAGUCAGGGGCUCAACCCUUGAAUGCCGGCGGAUACUGUCGGGCUAGAGUCCGGAAGAGGCGAGUGGAAUUCCCGGUGUAGCGGUGAAAUGCGCAGAUAUCGGGAGGAACACCGGUGUCGAAGGCGGGUCUCUGGGCCGUUACUGACGCUGAGGAGCGAAAGCAUGGGGAGCGAACAGG